rnacentral:rRNA from 1 species
ACUACUGGAUUCCCUAGUACGGCGAGUGAAGCGGGAAGAGCUCAAAUUUGAAAUCUGGUGGCCUCAGGUCAUCCGAGUUGUAAUCUAUAGAAGUGUUUUCCGUGCUGGCUCAUGUACAAGUCCCUUGGAACAGGGCGUCAUAGAGGGUGAGAAUCCCGUCCUUGACAUGAACUACCAGUGCUCUGUGAUACAUUUUCAACGAGUCGAGUUGUUUGGGAAUGCAGCUCAAAAUGGGUGGUAAAUUCCAUCUAAAGCUAAAUAUUGGCGAGAGACCGAUAGCGAACAAGUACCGUGAGGGAAAGAUGAAAAGCACUUUGGAAAGAGAGUUAAACAGUAUGUGAAAUUGUUGAAAGGGAAACGAUUGAAGUCAGUCGUGCUCUUUGGAUUCAGCCGGUUCUGCCGGUGUACUUCCUUUGAGUGGGGUCAACAUCAGUUUUGAUCGCUGGAUAAAGGCUGGAGGAACGUAGUACCCUCGGGUAAACUUAUAGCCUCCUGUCACAUACAGUGGUUGGGACUGAGGAACGCAGCACGCCUUUAUGGCCGGGAUUCGUCCACGUACGUGCUUAGGAUGUUGACAUAAUGGCUUUAAACGACCCGUCUUGAACCACGGGACCUAAA